CCAAAUCCUUUCAAACUUAAUAGAAAGGAUAAUUAGGAGACAUAUUUAAGAGAUUCCUCAUUUUGUAUUGACCAGGUGACAUACAUGAGGCAAUGAUACUACACAGGUUCUAUUUAAUAAUGAAAAAUCUCCCAAUGUACUUUUUUAUACGACCGGAAAAAAAUUUUUGUGGUCCUAUAUUGGUAUGACGUUGGCGUCGUCGUUGUCGUCUGAAGACACAUUAGUUUUCGCACUCUAACUUUAGUUUAAGUGAAUGGAUCUCAAUGAAAUUUUACCAAAAGGUUCAAUACCACAAAAGGAAGGUGGGGAUUGAUUUUGGGGGUUAUGGUAUGAACAGUAAAGGAAUUGGGGGCCAAAACGGGGCCAAAAAUAAGCAUUUUUGUAACUUCCAGACAUAACUUGUGUGUAAGUGAAUGGAUCUCUCUGACAUUGUACCACAAGGUUCCAUAUCACAAAGGGAAUGCUGGGAUUGAUUUUGGGGGUAA